rnacentral:lncRNA from 1 species
AUUUAGGAAUGUGUUUUUGAGGCACAAAAUAGGUAAGAAUCCUAUCCCCUUGUAUGGCAAAGCUUUAGAACAAAGGGGAAUGUAAUUUUGGGUCAGAAAAUAGGUAAGAAAGAGGGGAAAGGUGCGGCUGGUUGCUUGAAUAAAAGGGAAUGUGGUUUUAAGAUCAGAAAAUAGGAAAGAAAUGAUGCUUUUGUGCGGCAAGGACUUUAGGGAAGGUUUAGGGCUUCUAGAACAACCAAUUAAGUGCCCUAAUAUGUUUUGGAAUCCCUUUGUGGCUGGAACAUAGGUGAGGAAAGAUUAGGAAACUUCCAAGCCACGAAUAGAAACUAUCAAGAAUGGAAACCUCCAAGAAUAGAAACUUCCAACUUUAGAAACUUUGGCUUCCAAUUUUGAACACAUCGUUCUUUAUUUGUCUUGAAUCCAAUUCUUCACAUCAUCAUUCAAUCCUAUGCUCAUUUGAUCUUCAAUUUCGUCCAUCUUCUUACCUCCAAGCAUAUGCAAUCCAUUUGAUGCCCAAAACUGCUCCAAAAGGCUCCAAAAUGCACAUGUAUGCAUACUUUGUCCUUCAAACCUGAAAUUGCACGAAAAUAGCUUAAAAUACUAAAAUUACUAAGUACUAGCAACGUAAAUGCAAGGAAACAAGCUAAUUAAGUCGCAUAAAUAUGCUCCUAUCAAAUUCCCCCACACUUAGCUUUUGCUAGUCCUCGAGCAAAACAAAACAAAACAAAAUACAAUCUAGGCCUUCCAACAAUUGUCUUAGGGAUUUCCAAUGCAUAUGACAUGCUAAAAAUCAUUACUUACACAAAUUUUGGUCAUCCUUACCCUCGAGCACAUACUUAAUCGUAGUCACCAUUCACUAGUUCGCAUAUAAUCCAUUAAAACAACAUUUUUGAAUGUAGUAACAUGCCUUAGAGAAUUCCCUCAAUUCCUUACCAGAUAUGCACUCAAUUUUCACUUAGAUUUUCUAACUACACACCCUAAACUAGGUAUAUGUGAGAAGAUUGAUGUAAACAUGAAAACUAGUACUCACAUAUGUUAUAGCAAAGAAAGCACUUUUCUGGAAUUAUUAAUGCAUGUAUAUAUAUGAUCUCAUGAACGGAAUGCUACUACUUAGAAGCGAGAACCAGUGAUAUCAUAUGCUCAUACCAAUUCCAAACUCCAUAUAUUGAAAUACACAACACUCAAGAUGGAAGUCAAGGGUUGUAACAGGGCUAAGGGCGUUGGCUAACAAAGAAAGAUAAGGAUAAACAAAGGUUCUUUAAAGAAAUAGUAAGCAAAGUAAUGAAAUUGACACUUAGAAUUCACUUUUGAAUGCAAAAAUCAACUUUUAAACACAAGGGAAGAUUCAUGCAACACUUAGGGUCAAAUUCAAACUUUUGGACCAUUUCUUCAACAACCAACACAUGUGAGUUCAUUCUCACUUAUUUUUCAGCUCUUUUUCAUUCUUUUCACACACUUUUCUUCUUCUUUUUCUUUUUCCACGAAUUUUUUUUUCCUUUUUUUUUAUGCCCUUUUCUUUCUUUUGGCACACAAAACACACUUUGAAAACCCUUCCCCCACACUUGUUUUUCUGCAAAAAUCAAAAGGAAUUCCCUCUAAGUCAUGCUUCACUAUUCUUUAAGAACAAGGGUAUGG